rnacentral:rRNA from 1 species
AUUGAACGCUGGCGGCAGGCCUAACACAUGCAAGUCGAACGAGUGGCGGACGGGUGAGUAAUGUCUGGGAAACUGCCCGAUGGAGGGGGAUAACUACUGGAAACGGUAGCUAAUACCGCAUACCAUCGGAUGUGCCCAGAUGGGAUUAGCUAGUAGGUGGGGUAACGGCUCACCUAGGCGACGAUCCCUAGCUGGUCUGAGAGGAUGACCAGCCACGUUGGAAGCGAGACACGGGCCAGACUCCUCUGUGAGGCAGUAGGUGGGAAGAUUGCACCAUGGGCGCAAGCCUGAUGCAGCCAUGCCGCUUGUAUGAAGAAGGCCUUCGGGUUGUAAAGUACUUUCAGCGAGGAGGCGUUACUCUCAGAAGAAGCACCGGCUAACUCCGUGCCAGCAGCCGCGGUAAUUC